rnacentral:lncRNA from 1 species
CACUCUGGGGACUCCUUUAUUCUCCAUCUAGGCUGAAUCUCCUAUUUCUGGACCACAUGCCAUCCACUUUCUUUGUCUACUUCCUUGUUUUAAUGAGCAUAUCCUCUAGUAGAUUCUUGAGAAACGUUCUAUGGAACGUAAAUUUCUUGAGACAUUUUAUAGCUGAAAACGAUCUCCAUUCUUUGAAAUCCACACUGGAAAUCAUUUUCUCAGAAUUUGGAAGGGAUUGUUCCUGUGUGUUCUAGGUUCCAAGGUUGCUGUUGAGACAUCUGAUAUCAUUCUGACUUAUGGUCCCUCUCACAUCAUUUUUGGUUUCUCUCUGAAAAUUUUUAGAAUUUUUUUUAAUGCCAGGUGUUCUGAAAAUUGUUGGUGAUUUGUCCUAGUGAAUUCCAUGAGGCCAAGGGCCGUGUUUGCUUUAUUAACUUCUAAACACCAUAUCCAACAUUUCAGAAAUGUUUGUUGAAUAAAUUAAUGAAGAAUGACAUGGAAAGGAAAGGUGGAAAUGUACUAUAAGCAUAAAGGAAUGGCAUGUGUGAAAGAUCAGGUGGGAGAAAUAAAGAAUCUCUAUUGGGCUGCUGUUCUCAUCACUCUUCUGAAACUGGACUCUACUCAGUCUUCAAUGUCCUUGUUUUUAUGCAAUAUUUGACACUGUUAACAAUCCUUUCCUUUUCCAAUUUCUCUUCUCCAUGAACAGUUAUUCAUAUUUAAGUGAAAAAUAAACAAGUCUAUUUUGAAAUUCCAAUAAUAAUCUCCAGUGUCUAAAACUGAACUCAUCAUUCAUUUGACAAAGAAGCUGCCCCUAGCCCAUCUCUUCCUUCAUUCUGCCAAGAGUGGACUACACCCCCAGGAUGGUCCAGAGUACUCCUUGAGUCCUACUUUUUUUUUUUUUUUUUUUGCAAUUCCCACAUGUGGUCAAAGUUUCAUUUAUUUUUCCCUCAUAGUAUUUCUCGGUUUUGUUCUUUCUUUGCCACUUUUGCCUUAUCACAUUUGGAUUAGCUUCCUGAUUUCCCUGUUUUUUUUUGUCUCAGUGCUCCUCUCUCCAUCCUGCAUAGCAGCACCACAUGACUCUUCAUAAGGCUACAGUUCUCUCCCUUCAUUCUCCUGCUCCCUGUGCAUCUGAAGUUACUCAUUGCUGCUAGAAAAAUGUCCAAACUUUGGCUCAAUCCAUCUUCCAAGCCUCAGAGCAACAACGUAAGCCCUCUAGUGUCUUCAGGCUGGCCUGUCCUUGACCCUCUGGAAGCCUCACACAUUUCUCAUUAUGCCUGUGAGAUUUUUGUGCUCACUCUCCCUGCCUGUCUCUCCACUCCCCUUGUCUAUAAAUCUGAAUCACUCUCCUAGAACCAAGAACAGAACCAACUACAUAAUUUGUGGCCCCCAGUGCAAAAUAAAAAUGUGGAGUCCUUUGUUUAAAAAUUAGGAAU